rnacentral:rRNA from 1 species
AUUGAACGCUGGCGGUAGGCCUAACACAUGCAAGUCGAGCGGCAGCACAGUACUUGCUUGUUGUUUCGGGUGCGGAGUGGUGGGCGGGUCCUGAGAACAUCGGAAUCUACUUUUUCGUGGGGGCGAACGUGGGGGCAAUUACGCCAAUACCGCAUACGACCUACGGGUGAAAGCUGGGGACCUCAGGCUAUCGCGCGAUCGUAGGUGGGAUUAGCUAGUUGGUGGGGUAAAGGGCUACCAAGGCGACGAUCCGUAACUGGUCUGAGAGGAUGAUCAGUCACACUGGAACUGAGACACGGUCCAGACUCCUACGGGAGGCAGCAGUGGGGAAUAUUGGACAAUGGGCGAAAGCCUGAUCCAGCCAUGCCGCGUGUGUGAAGAAGGUCUUCGGAUUGUAAAGCACUUUAAGUUGGGAGGAAGGGCAGUAAGUUAAUACCUUGCUGUUUUGACGUGACCAACAGAAUAAGCACCGGCUAACUUCGUG